AAGUCGUAACAAGGUUUCCGUAGGUGAACCUGCGGAAGGAUCAUUAUUGAAUGUGCGCAAGCACUUAUCAAUUCCAACACACCUGUGCACUUGUGCCCUCGGGCAUUUUAACAAACAUCUCAGUAAUGAAUGUAUAAUACUUUAAACAAAAAUACAACUUUCAACAACGGAUCUCUUGGCUCUCGCAUCGAUGAAGAACGCAGCGAAAUGCGAUAAGUAAUGUGAAUUGCAGAAUUCAGUGAAUCAUCGAAUCUUUGAACGCACAUUGCGCCCUUUGGUAUUCCGAAGGGCAUGCCUGUUUGAGUGUCAUGUAAAUCUCUCUUUAUUGGUUUUCUAAAUCAAUCAAAGAGCUUUGGGCGUCUGGCUGGCUCAUUUGCUUUGCCUCGCCUCAAAUGUCUAAGUGAAAUGCGUAAUAAGUUUCGCAACCCUUCACUAUAAUCAAACCUUUUUUGCUCUGACCUCAAAUCAGGUAGGACUACCCGCUGAACUUAA
rnacentral:rRNA from 1 species